UCUUUAGCUCAGUCGGUAGAGCAUGAGACUCUUAAUUUCACGGGUUUGAGCCCCAUGACGGGCAAAA